AUCCCCUCCUUUCUCUUCUUGUUGUCUGCUUGAAAAAGUUGAAUCACAAGUUUGUAAGCGCAGAAGAAAAAAUAAAAUACUGCCUCUAGAGCUCUCAUCAAAAGCUUGCUUUCAACAAAUAUUCUAAUGAGAGAUUUUAAACAGUUUACAAGCCAGGUGUGAUGAAGAUUUUAUUCCAAUGUACUUCAGAGACUAGGGCCUGAUUUUUGAAACUGCUCUUGGAGAAAUGUUGCCAGCUGUAGUUGUGCCAAAGAAGAUACCCAGGCUCAGAAAGAAACAAGCCACAGCCAAUGAACUUAUUUCACGAGCUGGCCAAAUGGACAGCUACCACAUAUGCCCUGCCCUUUAUAGAUUUCUGUACCUCUGUGAAACUAAAUUAAGGAGCAGGAGAAGAAGAAAAAUGAGAGUGAAACCCCUGCUUCAGGACAAUGAGUCAGGAGGCAAGAUACACAAUUUAUUCUUGACAGAAGUCAAAGGAAGAAAUAACUACAAUCUAACAGCUCUUGGACAAAGAAUUGGCCUUCACAUCCAGCCCACGCACUCAAUUUGGACUCCUGUCAUAGAUUUUCACCAGAGGUCAAGGCAGCCUGGAUAG
rnacentral:lncRNA from 1 species